GGUACUUUCCACAUUUAGCCCAUUGUAAAAGUUCAGUUUUUUCCUUGUAUCAUUGCUGCCUCCAGUUUUGUAAGGUCAUCAUAAGUCAUUAAUGGCUCCUCAUUGGCGCAGAACUUAUCGCCCUAAAAUCAAAGCUUUGGAACAGUGAUCAAAGCAGUGACCAUACAAUGUUGUUGCUUCUGUUGAUGUAUUAAGAUCCUGCUGGUGGAGUAAUUAAAGAUCGCAAUCCGAAGCCGAGGAUAUUGCUGCAAAACUUCAGCGAAACUGUGUACAUCAUCCAUAAUACACUGGCAGCUUAACCUGCUUCAGGCAUGAGCGUGAGCAGCUUCCUCUGAUAUAACUUAGAGAAGUCGGCUCCUUCCUCUCAUGUCUGCUCUGUGCUGGAUGUUUAGACUUGCAGAUGCGGUGAUAAAAGAGUGAAGAAGCUUUCACCUAGAGCAAAUUUACUCAACAGAAUGCAUCCCCUGAAAUGCAACAAGCCAAACGAUUGGAAUGAAUGAGCGCAAAUGGUUUUUCCAAUCUAUCAGCUGUGCAGGUAGUGCUGGGUGGAAAUGAGAAGACCUUCAGUUCAUGGCUGAACGCUCAUUAAAAGCUUUUCCAGUCAACCUGGCCACAUGGGAAGUCCACAGUACACGUGCUCUUCUUCACCGCAGCCGACAAAUCUCACUUCACCUGAGGGGAAGACUUAGAAAAGAGAGUUGUGAUUUAGUACACAUAUGGUUAAUGCAUGGGAGGAUACGGACGACAGGUAAUUUUCAAGGACAACCAUGAAAAAAAAAGGAAAUUAAUAUGGAUUGAAAAUGGUCCUAGAGAAAAUGGAUUACUGCAGCUCAAAAGACUGCAUUUCAAAUCAGUGUGACUUUUCAAAAUGUAACAUAAUCAGAAUAAAUUCUGUUAAAUUCCGAGCGUGAGAAUUUUACAACUUUGGUUUCCAGCAUUUGAUGCUUUUGUACCUAAAAAUGUGACGGGUCAUUCUUUUUGUCCAAAGGCAUUAAUAAUAAUAAUAAAAACUAAGAUGACAUUCAAAGUAUGUAAGUUAGUACAACUAGAUCUCUUUUAUUGAAUCCAAAAGGUUUUAAUUAUAUUUUGCUACAUAUAAAGGUAUUUUAAAGAUUUUGAAGUGUCAAAAGGUCAUUCGGUUUAACAGCCCAAAGGCCA